CCAUCCCAAGGUUACUAGAGAUUGCACCAGCUCCAGACUGAAUCCAAACUCACUUGUGCAGAACUUCAGAUGACGCCAGCGCACACAGAGAUUACAGAUGACAGCAACUGUACAUGGACACACAAAACAUUGGACACACAAAACAAAUAUUAUCCUUAUAUUGCCUAUAAGGCCCUCCAGGGGGGGCGGGACUGACUGCUGCUGGGUCGGACGCCGAUCCUGUUUCUCUUCUCUUUCCACGCCAAUCGUUUUUACCCCACUCUCUGCCACUAGAGUGGGCAGGGAGGUCGGGGCUGGCCUGUUGGCGUUGCGGGGACCCAGAGCAUUUCAUGGAUAGGUGUCCAGUAAUGGAGGUGAGGAUGAUGAUUCAGGUCCUGGAUGUCCCACAGGCCGCACCCGGUCAAGCUGGCUGGUACCAAAUACCUACAGACGCAUCGGACAGGGGGUUGGGUGCAGUCCUGUCCCAGGAGAUAGAUGGGGAGGAACGGUCCGGUGCUGUACAUUAGGUCGUAAGCUCU